rnacentral:rRNA from 1 species
GAUGAACGCUGGCGGCGUGCCUAAUACAUGCAAGUCGAGCGAACAGACGAGGAGCUUGCUCCUCUGACGUUAGCGGCGGACGGGUGAGUAACACGUGGAUAACCUACCUAUAAGACUGGGAUAACUUCGGGAAACCGGAGCUAAUACCGGAUAAUAUAUUGAACCGCAUGGUUCAAUAGUGAAAGACGGUUUUGCUGUCACUUAUAGAUGGAUCCGCGCCGCAUUAGCUAGUUGGUAAGGUAACGGCUUACCAAGGCGACGAUGCGUAGCCGACCUGAGAGGGUGAUCGGCCCCACUGGAACUGAGACACGGUCCAGACUCCUACGGGAGGCAGCAGUAGGGAAUCUUCCGCAAUGGGCGAAAGCCUGACGGAGCAACGCCGCGUGAGUGAUGAAGGUCUUCGGAUCGUAAAACUCUGUUAUUAGGGAAGAACAAAUGUGUAAGUAACUAUGCACGUCUUGACGGUACCUAAUCAGAAAGCCACGGCUAACUACGUG